AAUUAUCUACGAGGACGCUGCUGUAGAAGCAUCAAAAAUGAAAUUCACCUCAUUGAAGCCACAUGAACAUGUUGACGCUUCGGUUGUUGAUGUUUGGGCGUCGUACUUGAAUGCAAUGGAGAUAUACAAGUCGUCAGAAGCCCCCUCCAUAUUGUUUUUGUUCACUACUAGCACAUCAUACAAUGUGGUUGAACGUCGAAAUGAAUGGGAGGAGGCUAAAGCUGUGGAAGCAUUCUGCAAGGAAAUAGAUUCUCAAUUCAAAAAUAUUGAAACUUUUGACUAGACCAAAUAUGAUUUGGUUUUUUUCCCAAUAUGGUCUCCCACUCACUACUAUUUGGUAUGCUUUUCAAUUAAUACUAGAAUUGCAAAUGUCAUUGACAAUACAGUGCUCAAUACCAGUGUUCGAUAUAUGUCAAAAUACAGUACAACCUUGAAUCUACUAAGGGAAUUUUUUGUUCGCUAUCUCCUAACCAAGUGCCUCAAACACCUUGCUAAAGUGAUAAGUAAAGAACGUGGAAUCCGGCUGCUGGACUUGCCAUGGAAAGCAACUGACAAAGACAAGGACUCUGCGGUCUUCCUGAUGAGACAUAUGGAGACAUAUAUGGGUACGCCUAUCAAUUUAUGGAAUACUAGUCUUCAAGGAGUUAGUGUCAGAACAUUACAGAUUUUGAGGGGGCGCUAUUGCAAGGCAAUGCUUCUUUCGGAAUUCAACAGAGUCAGCGUCCGAUUCAAAUAGUUCAUGAAUAGUUACAUCGUGACUCCUACGUUUAGAACAGAUUUCACGAAGCACGUCAAUGGUUUGUUGAGCAAAGAUCCCAGUAAAAUGCCCAACAAGGAGCCGGCAAAGAAGAAAAGAAAGUGUGUUUGAUUUCUUUUUGGGAAAGUUUGUGCUUUUUUUUUGCAUGUUCAAGCAACAUAAUGGUUAUUAUUAAUUAGUUUAGUUGU